GCAAUCUGCCCUUCACUCUGGGACAAGCCCUGGAAACGGGGUCUAAUACCGGAUAACACCUGCCCGGGCAUCCGGGUGGGUUAAAAGCUCCGGCGGUGAAGGAUGAGCCCGCGGCCUAUCAGCUUGUUGGUGAGGUAGUGGCUCACCAAGGCGACGACGGGUAGCCGGCCUGAGAGGGCGACCGGCCACACUGGGACUGAGACACGGCCCAGACUCCUACGGGAGGCAGCAGUGGGGAAUAUUGCACAAUGGGCGAAAGCCUGAUGCAGCGACGCCGCGUGAGGGAUGACGGCCUUCGGGUUGUAAACCUCUUUCAGCAGGGAAGAAGCGAAAGUGACGGUACCUGCAGAAGAAGCGCCGGCUAACUACGUGCCAGCAGCCGCGGUAAUACGUAGGGCGCAAGCGUUGUCCGGAAUUAUUGGGCGUAAAGAGCUCGUAGGCGGCUUGUCACGUCGGGUGUGAAAGCCCGGGGCUUAACCCCGGGUCUGCAUUCGAUACGGGCUAGCUAGAGUGUGGUAGGGGAGAUCGGAAUUCCUGGUGUAGCGGUGAAAUGCGCAGAUAUCAGGAGGAACACCGGUGGCGAAGGCGGAUCUCUGGGCCAUUACUGACGCUGAGGAGCGAAAGCGUGGGGAGCGAACAGGAUUAGAUACCCUGGUAGUCCACGCCGUAAAC
rnacentral:rRNA from 1 species